UAUCUCUGGAAAAUGCGUCGAGUAUUUUCCUUAAUCGAAAAGUGUUUCCCGCGCGAACGAAAAUCUUCCGCGGUGGCUAACAAUCGCGAAUUUAACCGCUGCCAUUGCGAAACGAAGAGUUGUCGCGUCUCUGAUAAGACGACAAUUUCGUGGAAGUUCAGGUUCCACCGGUGCGAACGUGCGAACGGAUGCAUUCUACGCGCGUAACUUAGAUCCCUGUAGGAUAGCGUGUGUGCAGCCACAGUGUUGUCUGUAUUAGAACGGGGCGGUUAGGGAGAGAGGGUCGAUGGGGGGUGGUUACUGGGAUUUUCAGUACGCGCGCGAUCGCCGUGCCGAAAACACGGCUCCAACCUACCCGCUUUCGCACGCUCGGGGGUUGUCUGGUUCCUAGCGACGAUUAAACGUGACGAUCUCUCUGCGUUCCAAACGCGAACCGGGAAAAAGAUGCUCUCCGAAAUGCGCUGAACAAAUUUCGUACAGUGUUCGUGUCAUGGAAUGAAAAAAAAAAAAGAAUGAAAAAGUGAAUCGCCGGUAUAGUGGCGAACGAACUAUCAACUCAACACCGGGAUGUACCCCGUGAGACGUUGAAGUACAAUGUAUUAAAAUUGAAUUCAGUAGCAGAUAGUCACGUAACAUUCGUGUAAGUUUAAAAAAGGACGAUGUUUAUAAUAAAAUAAACGCAAACUUAAAGUUUCAGGAUAAAUCAAACGACGGAUGACUUGUAUGAAAAUUUAUAUUAAUAUAUUAAAAUUAAUAUAUUAAAAUCGAAUUCAGUAGCGGAUAGUUGCGUAAAAUUCGCGAAAGUUUAAAAGAAAGACGACGUUUAAAAUAAAAUAAACGCGAACUUAAAGCUUGGGAAUAAAUCGAGAGACGGAUGUCUUGUAUGAAAAUUUACUUUUCUAGCGAUUGUAGAGUCAAGAGAGAUAUCGUUGAAUCGAAUGAAAUUAAACAUACCUAUAGAUCCAUCGAUUCGUAUUAACAGCGAAUGUAAGUUUGGUAGUCGCGAAUGUUGAUCGGUGUCGAAUGUUGAGCAUUGAAAUAAACGAAAUGAACAGUAUCUACGCUGGAUAGUUGAGUGUGUGCAUGAAGAAUUACGAGACCGAUGAGAACUGCAAACGAGCCGGUGCAGAGGAACACGAAUUAGGUGCAUCAUGCUGAAAAGAUGCAUACAAGCCGUGGUUCACUUUUUUCUUCGGAUUCGGGGUAAUGGUCGCAAAACAGAAGCCACUUUACGACAGACGGGCGAUAACCGGGAAUGGAAUCUCUAUGAUGCUCGGAAAUGCGCAAAUUGAUGGGCAGAGAUCAUCGUCGAUGGACCGGGGGUAAACGUCAUGGCGAACCAGACGGUCAAUUACUAUGGGAACGUUUAUCAAUGGAAUCGGACGGUGGCGACGGACGACCAAGACGCGUCGAUGGAAUAUUACCUACCCGACUGGACUGAUCUCGUUUUAGCUGGGUUGUUCACCACGUUGAUCAUCGUCACUAUAGUAGGCAACACUUUAGUAAUUGCCGCUGUGGUAACAACGAGGCGCCUAAGGUCCGUUACUAAUUGUUUCGUAUCCAGCUUGGCCGCUGCGGAUUUAUUGGUUGGCUUGGCUGUAAUGCCGCCGGCAGUAUUAUUACAGGUAUAUAAACGACGUAUAUCAGUGUAGCUGAAAUUUUGAAAGGUAUUCGUACAAAAAAGGGUGCCAAUAAAUUCGUACACCCUAAUUAUCUGCGUUAUUUUUCGAGACGUGAAAGCUUAUAUGUGAAACUUCGUGUAAAUUUGAAUACUCUAAUUAUUUACGUUAUUUUGAGGAACAUGAAACUUCAUUCAUAAAAAAAAUCAUCCGAACGGAAUCGAAUGUUUUAGUGAAAAACCAUCGUGUGAGAUUAUUUAUACAAUCAAUGAAUAUUGAAUUCUUUGUAAAAAUUACGUUCUG